CAGAGGGGGCAAGCGUUGUCCGGAUUUAUUGGGCGUAAAGAGCGUGUAGGCGGCCAGGUAGGUCAGCUGUGAAAACUCGAGGCUCAACCUCGAGAUGUCGGCUGAAACCAUCUGGCUAGAGUCCGGAAGAGGAGAAUGGAAUUCCCGGUGUAGCGGUGAAAUGCGCAGAUAUCGGGAAGAACACCCGUGGCGAAGGCGGUUCUCUGGGACGGUACUGACGCUGAGACGCGAAAGCGUGGGGAGCGAACAGGAUUAGAUACCCUGGUAGUCCACGCCGUAAACGAUGGGAACUAGGUGUGGGCGGUGUCGACUCCGUCCGUGCCGAAGCUAACGCAUUAAGUUCCCCGCCUGGGGAGUACGGCCGCAAGGCUA
rnacentral:rRNA from 1 species